rnacentral:rRNA from 1 species
UACAGGGGGGGCAAGCGUUGUUCGGAAUUACUGGGCGUAAAGGGCUCGUAGGUGGCCAACUAAGUCAGACGUGAAAUCCCUCAGCUUAACUGGGGAACUGCGUCUGAUACUGGAUGGCUUGAGUUUGGGAGAGGGAUGCGGAAUUCCAGGUGUAGCGGUGAAAUGCGUAGAUAUCUGGAGGAACACCGGUGGCGAAGGCGGCAUCCUGGACCGAUACUGACGCUGAGGAGCGAAAGCCAGGGGAGCAAACGGG